rnacentral:lncRNA from 7 species
AGAUGCCCAUCAGUGCCACCUCAGACCUGAGCCCCGUGGCCCUCACUGCCCCCAGGGGAAGGUUGUGGAAGCUAAAAAAAAGUUCACUUCUGUUCAGGAAUAGUGGAAAAGCAGGUUGAAGGAGCAGAGGACUGCAACUGCAGCCCAGGUGUGUAUGCAGGGCAGCUGGAGCUGAGGGCUGGUGGCAUACAUCUGCUGGCUGGGGAAGGGAAGGAUCAUGCUCUCCUGGGCUACCUGGUGGAUGCUGCAUGGUCUGCUCUUAAAGAGCUGCAAGAAGACUGUUUCUUGUUCAGAGGCACGACAGGUCCAGCUUUAUUCAAGCUCUCAUCCUCUGGGCAAAGCCUCUAUAUGGGCUUCUGGAAGCUCAUCUAACUCACUGGGGUUGCUCCACUUAAUCUCUGAGUGAUUCUACUGCAACACUCGACUGUGGUUACUGUGUUAGUGGCCCUACAAGUCUGGGGACUUUCCUUACAGCUCAAGGCUCUUCAUAUGGAAGGGUAGUAGAGACAAGGCGUGGUGGAAGUCAGUAUUUGUGCUUCUAGGUUUGGGCUUCUAGGAUUCAAGGAGCUGAAUUGACCCAAUUAUUCAGUACAAAAUCCAAAAUAUCGACUUUGUCUGAAAAAUCAGCUACCAGAACUGAAAAGGAAAUCAGUUAAUACUUGUGCUCCCACUGAAGUGCCCAAAUUAUGGGAAGCAAGGAUAGCAAACUAGAAGGCUGCGUGCGGAAAUCAAACUCUAUAACCGCAGAGUAGUUAUAAAGCAGGAUGGAACUACAGGUGUGAGGUCUGCUGGUGAAUCAGAAUGGGGCUGGGAGAUUAAAGCAGGACCAGGUGGGUGCCCUUGUGCGUUAUAUCUAAAGAUGAUCACUAGAUGGCAACGUUACAUAGCUGAAAGGACCUGUACAGUCCUGUUCCAAAUAUCAUCUGCAGAUGAAAUGGUUCCUUUCACUCAGGUUGUUCAUCCAGAAUGGAAGAUUUCCAUGAGCCUGCUGUAGCUCACACAGCCUAUCUCAGGAAUUAGGUGACUGUGUAGAGACCUCCUGUUAAUCAUUCUCAGGUGGCUUAAGGACAGGCCAUUCUGCACCAACAUAAUCCAGUGACAAGCUCAGCUGUACUUAGUGUUCCUUGGGUAAUGGCCUGCAUUUUGGAUAAACAUCCUUUUAGAAUGCUAUUUAAAAAAUAAAACAUGCUGUUUAUGCUUUGUUUCCUAAUUACAAUAUGCUUCUAAAGUUGUAAUGAUGUCUGACAACUCUAAACGUAGUUUUAGAUAGAGGGCUUUACCCUCUGAUGCAGUUUUGCCCACUCUGUGGUUGUAAAACAGAAGAUGAUUUCUCAUGUAACCCUUUUAGAGGAUGACAUGAGCAAAGUGCUUUCUAGGUUCUACAAGUAAACAAAUUGAAG